UAUCACGCAGCAGCGCUGGUACAGCCACGGUUGUCCCCUCUGCUCAGGGACAUAGUUCAGCUGAUUUUAUCACCCAGACUACAUGCUAUGAAAAUAAAACUGGAUCUAGUUUCUUUGUUAUGCCUUCACUACUAUAAAAAGUAGCACUUGCCAUUAAUUGAGUGGAAAAAAAAAAAGUUUUCAUGUUUAAGACACUGAAAAAUUUUAGAAGUGUCACAAAACACAGCAGUGUUUUCCAGGAAAUAACUGGUCAGCACUGCUGUUCUCAACAACAUGGCGAACAAAUGAAAGUAACUAACACCACUUUGUUUACAAAAAUAGAAGCAGAACCCCUGCAAUCUCUGCAUAUACACUUCCACCUGGCCAAGCAAGCAAAGACAACACCGGCACAUCCAGGAGAGCAGCAUCAGCCCAAAUCUUGAUGGGGUGAUGAAUUCCAGCUCCAGGGAACUGGGCAGCACCUUAUUGGCCAGCACUGGAGCCUGGCAGAAACAGAAGCAGCCUAAGAACAUGCAGAGCCCUUGCGCCAUGCAGGGGUGUCCCCUGGUGUGUGGAGCACCGUGCGUUCGGAAGGAAGCUGACAGCUACAGUCAGCACUGUGUUCAGCAGCUGCGUGGGCAGCAAAUCUGAUCUCUGAGUAGUUUCAGGACACACCUUAAAAUACAGUGGGGACAGAUCAGCUGCCUUCCUUCUUACACUGUACAACCAGAUGUCACACUUACACUACAGAUGUCAAAUAGAAACCAAUAGAAAUGAAGUUUACCCAUGAGAUCCCAUGGGGAUAGGCCUACUUCCGAUCGUCAGAAAAACAAAAAUUAUUCUCAAGAAUAUUCCCCAGAUUUUCAAUGCAUUACUGAAGUAACUGUUUGAAAUACUAACAGCUGCUUGUAGCAUAUCUGAUGGAUAUGCUCAUUUAAAUUCUUCUGUCUAAAAAUAGGAGAUGAAGUAAUUUAUCCAUAAGUGCUCUAUAUCCCAUUAACUCAGGUAACCAUAGAUACCAGCAAAAAAUUAAAUCAAAUAGAUUAACGUUUGACAGGUAAGAACUUCAAGCAUACCAUACACACGAGUUUAUUUAAUGAUGUUUGCUGCAGGUUUUAUCCCAUAACUACGUUAUUAUUCAAAGGAGAUAAAUCCUUAAGCAACAAUCUGUACUUGAUGUGUGAAUAUUUAAAGAGCGAUACAAGAUGCCAUUACAGUAAUGGGCUGAUGAAUAUACCAAGCUUAGGUGAAUUACACCACAAGCCCACUUCUUAAAAAUAAAAAAAGUAAACUGCCUUAAAGUACCAUGUUAUAUGUACCACUGCUCCACCUGCCCCAGUCUCACAGACAGUGGAACCAACUCCAUUACUGCUCUCGUAAAGCCCAGAACAAGCAGCCAAUUGGAGUAAGAAAAACUGAGCUGAACCCAGAGGAAACUCAGAGGACUUCUUUGGAGAGGCUGAGGCCAGUUGUACAUCCUUACUAUGUGCAGAAGAUUAAUUUUCUUUGAAAGUGGGGAAAACGACUUUUUCUUUUAGCAUAAGGUAAAAAAUGAGACUUUAUUUAUAUCUUUCUCCUUCAAAUCAAAAAUUCUUUUUGCCUGAUACAACUUACCUGGAAAGCAGAGUUAAAAAACAAAACAAUAAAAGAAACAUUUUAUUGCUGAGGCAGCCCCUUGCUGCUGAGCCAGUUCUGAAGCACUGAGGAGCAGAGUUUAUAAAGAUCAUUUUAAGACAUCAAUACAAAUUGCAGUUCUUGAGAAAAAUAUUGAAAAGUCAAAAAUCCAGUUCUGCGUAUCUGUUCUAAGAUUAAACAAAUCAAAUUGCAUAUAACAGUCUUCCUUUGUGGUUUUACUAUCAAGAAACAAAGCAAGAAAUAAAAACAUUAGAAACAAAAUACAGUCGUUGGCUCCUGCUGUAAUUUGUUGUUUGUUUUAAGGCAAGCAGGGAAGUUUGAUAAACGUAAAACUAUGGCUUUCUAAAAUACCAGCGCAAGUCUGAAUCUGCCACAUUAGCUGCAUUUCCUCCUUUCAUCUCCAGUGUUCUGUGAGCUUGUAUCACCAUAACAUUCAUGUGCUUGCAGGAUGGUAAAUAUAAUACGGAAGAGCAACAUUACAAUCACUACGUCAUCAUGGCUGUCUUCAAUUCAGUGCAGCAACUUAAAGAAACAGGAGAUGGAAUUGUAUAACCAACCAGCACUCUGAGGAGCACCAGGGAGCCAUAAGGCAUAACUUCUUAGUGACUCAAUUUGAGCACUUGUGUUACAAGGUCCACUGUGUUCUGUCCAGGCAUUGUAUCUGCUUUCCCUGCCCAUACUCACCAUCUUUUUCAAGCAAUUGCAGAAGCAAGUUGAGCAACACGACAGAAGAUGCCAUUUAACUAAUCUUUGAUUUCCCAAUAUAUUUUCACCUGUGAGCGCUCAUCUAAACCAGCCAGUGAGAUAUAAGUACACUACACAGAACACUGAUUUUCAGGUCUGCUCUUGCUUCACCAGUGCUGGAGUUGCCUGAAAUACAUAAUAAAUAUCGCUUGCAUUGCUUGCUCCCUAAAUGUUCACGUUGCCAAGAACUUGAUACCCUUCUGUUUCAGUCCCAAGAUGAACUUCCUGGUUUCCCAAAAAUACUGCAUGAUCCCCCAUGAAGUUACGCUGCCAGAGCUAUCACUACAUUUUCCAGUGAAUUUCUCUACCUGACCUAGCCCAAAACAUGUUCCAAAAAGAACCUCACAACCGAAGGCUGCAAACAUUUGUUCCUCAUCCUGCUCACCACCACAGCUAAUACAAGCACAGAGAUAGCUCUGGGCCUGCUGCACCACAUGGCACCAGAGCAAAGAUCGUGCUGGCAAAAUAUGCCAGAAAGGAAAUCAUGGGCCUAUGUUAAUUAGAAGCCAUGUCUCAGAAUUCCUGAAGCUUCCAGCGUACAAUGCACAAAGAAAGUUCUAUCAUUUAUGAAGAUGAUACAAUAGGGUACAUAUUCAGGAUACUGAGCAAUAAGUGUGAAGUGCUAGCACAUACACCAAUUUGCUUAACUAUCAGGUGUAGGCAAAGCCUUUAUCAUUCACUUCAAAGCAAAGCAAACAAAGAAACAAAAAAAAAUUAGGAAUUGGUCCAUUAGGAAUAUUCUUUGUUCAAGUUGGAUUCCAGCUAAUUUUCUUUGCUAGAGAAAAUAUAAUUUCUCUACUUAGUUGUGCAAUAUAAUAUGUUAUAAUCACAUUUAGCUGGAACAAUAAUAGUAACACUUGCAUAAUAGGAACUGCAGAACUAUUAUUGCUCAAGAGCGGUAGCAGCGAAGUCAUUUGAAGUUAAAGUAAUGACUCUGGUGGUCUUAACGGCUUCUUCAAGUUUCGAUUCAGAGGGAAGGGAAAUAAAAACUAUCAGUAUGAUUAUUUUCCAGAGAUCCUCAUAAAUCCAUAUGACUUCAUUACUUUCCAGAAAGUAUCAUUCAAUUACAUGGAGAGGAUCAGCUUCACAUUACAACUAACAAUAUCACAUGCAACCAGAAGAGAUUUUAGUUAGAACUUCUAGAGUUGAUUUUCAGUCUCAACUUUGAUUUUGAAAUUGCUGUUUCAGUAACAGCACAUAGCAGAUAAGCCCAUAUGAUGAGCUCGUUUUCAUGUCUGUCACAAGUUUCACAACAAAAGAAUCAAAAAAUCCACAGCCAUUAUAUAAUAUUUUUCAAGAGAAGCUGCUCAAGUAGUACAGUAUCCAAAUAUGUUUUAAAUGGCUUUUUUUUUCCUUUCCGGCUUAAGUUUAAAUUAAAGAAGGAUUCGUAGUCAUAUUUUCCAACAUGGGCAAACUGGUGUAAUACACAUGAUUUAUGUACAUUGUACGCAUUACCUGUAAAGAUAAACUGCCAACAUACAGACAGACUCCCAUUAAAAGCUGGACUUCAGAAUCUAAGUGUGCUGGAUAUUUGAAGAAGCAAAAACCCUUACGAGAAUAUGGUUAUUUGAAAAGGAAAAGCAAAAUAAGGAUAUAGACCAAAACAGCAACCCCUAAGGAAAGAACAGACAGAGAUUCUGACAGAUGAUUUUCAAAAACACUUCCUUCACAUUUUAAAAUAUGGAUCUCUUCACUCCGUGUUUCUCCAAACCUUACCAUUUCCUAACAGGUAUUGCCGACAACUGGAGAACAGUUGCAGUGAAGUACAACUGGCGCAAUUAAAAGCGACUGAAGAGGUGUGCAACUAAAGCUGCUCAAGUGAAGUUUACCCAUGUAAAAAAAAAUGAAGUUACCAGAAGUGAGUGAAAUACAAAGUCGCACGUCUUAAUGUAAUGAGGUGGACUGAAGGGUGGAUUACACGAAGGACUAUACUUUUAGAGAACAACGAAGUUCUAUACUUCUGUUGCUUGAAAUAUCACCUUCAGUUGCAGCAUAAUCACAGUCCCCAACUGAGCAUCGUGGUCGACGACUACGACCAGCAACCUGUGCUGUCCCAGAGCUGAAACACGGCCAUCAAGGCAAAUUGCAAGCACACAUUUUUGUCCUGUGUUUAGCUCAAAUGAAGUUGUUUUUUUUUGUUUGUUUGUUUUUUUAAAUACACUUUUGUUCUGACUACAGAGGAAGAAGCUGUUCUUUGCUCCAGUACCCUCCCUUAGUUGUGAGAAAGGGGGAAAUAAUUUGUAUAUAUGGGUAAAACUCAAGAUGAAGAUGCAAAUAACAGAAGAAAC
rnacentral:lncRNA from 1 species